CAGAUCCUGCUCCACAUGCGGCACCCGUCGUGUUGCUUAUGUGAUAACAAAUCCGGUAAAAAGUCUAAUUCGGUAGGUCACAUUCAUGAAAGGGAAGGGGAUUGUAGUUACGACGUAAGGAACAUAUCCGAUAUCAUUUGUGAAAUGGUUAUUCCAUAACGGUCAACCAACUCGUGAUGGCGUCCGUAAAAUUUACGAAGGGAUGAUUUCAACUUCACCAUUUGGAAACUCUUGGUUUAAUAGCUUCCUUGUGAGCAGCAACCCUCUAUCAAGAAAAUCAUGAUAG
rnacentral:lncRNA from 1 species